rnacentral:rRNA from 1 species
AUUGAACGCUGGCGGCAGGCCUAACACAUGCACGUCGAACGAGUGGCGGACGGGUGAGUAAUGUCUGGGAAACUGCCUGAUGGAGGGGGAUAACUACUGGAAACGGUAGCUAAUACCGCAUACCAUCAGAUGUGCCCAGAUGGGAUUAGCUAGUUGGUGGGGUAACGGCUCCCCAAGGCGACGAUCCCUAGCUGGUCUGAGAGGAUGACCAGCAAAAUUGGAACUGAGAAACGGUCCAGACCCAUACGGGAGGCAGCAGGGGGGAAUAUUGCAAAAUGGGCGAAAGUCGGAUGCAGACAUGCCGCGUGUGUGAAGAAGGCCUUAGGGUGGUAAAGAACUUUCAGCGGGGAGGCGUUACCCGCAGAAGAAGCACCGGCUAACUCCGUGCCAGCAGCCGCGGUAAUAC